GAAGGUUGAACGGAACUAAUUUGCAUUUAGUUGAUGAGAUAGUUUUUG
rnacentral:tRNA from 1 species